CUCCUCAUCUAAUACACACAGAGUUAUCAGACCAGCAUCAGAGCACUGUCCCAAUGCUGCAGGUCCCUCCUCAUCUAAUACACACAGAGUUAUCAGACCAGCAUCAGAGCACUGUCCCAAUGCUGCAGGUCCCUCCUCAUCUAAUACACACAGAGUUAUCAGACCAGCAUCAGAGCACUGUCCCAAAGACCAGCAUCAGAGCACUGUCCCAAUGACCAGCAUCAGAGCACUGUCCCAAUGCUGCAGGUCCCUCCUCAUCUAAUACACACAGAGUUAUCAGACCAGCAUCAGAGCACUGUCCCAAUGCUGCAGGUCCCUCCUCAUCUAAUACACACAGAGUUAUCAGACCAGCAUCAGAGCACUGUCCCAAUGCUGCAGGUCCCUCCUCAUCUAAUACACACAGAGUUAUCAGACCAGCAUCAGAGCACUGUCCCAAUGCUGCAGGUCCCUCCUCAUCUAAUA